GUAUGAAGAAGGCCUUCGGGUUGUAAAGUACUUUCAGCGGGGAGGAAGGGAGUAAAGUUAAUACCUUUGCUCAUUGACGUUACCCGCAGAAGAAGCACCGGCUAACUCCGUGCCAGCAGCCGCGGUAAUACGGAGGGUGCAAGCGUUAAUCGGAAUUACUGGGCGUAAAGCGCACGCAGGCGGUUUGUUAAGUCAGAUGUGAAAUCCCCGGGCUCAACCUGGGAACUGCAUCUGAUACUGGCAAGCUUGAGUCUCGUAGAGGGGGGUAGAAUUCCAGGUGUAGCGGUGAAAUGCGUAGAGAUCUGGAGGAAUACCGGUGGCGAAGGCGGCCCCCUGGACGAAGACUGACGCUCAGGUGCGAAAGCGUGGGGAGCAAACAGGAUU
rnacentral:rRNA from 1 species